CAGAAAGUAGUUUAUAAUAAAAUAUAAGUUUUGGAAAUUUAUGAUACUAUAUAGUAGUUUUUCUGA
rnacentral:tRNA from 1 species